GGUCCCUUAGCUCAGCUGGAUAGAGCACCUGCCUUCUAAGCAGGUUGUCGCAGGUUCGAAUCCUGCAGGGAUCGCCA
rnacentral:tRNA from 1 species